AAUUUUAUAGUUAAAUUAUAUAAUAUUAGAAUGCAAUUCUAAAGGUAUAAAUUUUUAUUUAUUAAAAUUU
rnacentral:tRNA from 1 species